rnacentral:misc_RNA from 1 species
CCUUUACUUGCCAUUACCACCACCAUGGCGGACCCUGGGGACCAGUUCAGUGAUACUCCACUUAAUUCUCCUCUACAUGCGGCAAGCAGAACUUGUGCAAGAUCAGAUUCCAACCUAACCAUUAGAACCUGGCAUUCUGGAUCUCCAAACCGCACAUUAUACUCAAUUAGCUUAGGCAAGCCAGACUUCUUCUCUAUCAUUAACCCAGCAUAUAAAACUCCAACAAACUUGCAACCCUCUGCUGUCAUUCCUUUCACUGUUGGGAGAAUUAUAG